UGUGGACUGUAAGGUGUCUGUUGUAAAAUCUCAUCUCUGCUGUAUGGCAGGAAAGCAGCUGUUAACAAUAUGCAGACAAAAGAGACAAAAACCAAUGAUGGCAGAUUUACUAGGUUAUUAGUAGUUAAAACAGUUGUUUUUUCUUUUUCUGUUUCUUUUUUUUUUUAGUUGCAAGAAGCACCAGAUCAACUUACAGAGGCUGUGAGAUGUGCUGAGAAAACACAGGAUCACGUCCAAAAGCUUGAAAUUGAAAAUGUCAAAUUACAAACUACAGUCAAAAAGCAAGUGGGCAAAAUUGAACAGCUUCAGAAAAACCUGUUAAGGACAAGAUCGUCUGAGGAUGAAAAGGAACAAUUAAAGAAAUACAUUGAAUUAAAACAAUCUCUGGAAAAUAGCUUGGACCAAGAAAAGAAGAAAAACAGUGAGUUCAAAAAAGAGAUUACUGGAUUUAAUAAACUCUUAAAAAUGACAAGAAGGAAGUUAAAUGAAUAUGAAAAUGGAGAGCUUAGUUUCCAUGGAGAUUUAAAAACCAGUCAAACUGAAAUGGAUAUUCAAAUUAAUAUGCUAAAACAUAAGAUUGAUGAUCUUACAGCAGAGCUGGAAACUGCAUCUUCAAAAUGUCUGCAUCUGGAUGCAAAAAAUCAAGUUCUCCGAGAGGAGUUAUUAUCUAUGAAAGGAAUGCAAAAGAAAUGUGAAAAACUAGAGAAGAAUACAAAGAAGUUGGAGCAAGAAGUAGUGCUCCUCAGAAGUCAUAUAGAAAUGAAUAUGAUAGAACACAGUCAAGUAGAGCAGUAUAAAUGGGAGAUUGAAGAAAGGGCGAGACAGGAUCUCAUAGAGAAAUUAA